GACGAACGCUGGCGGCGUGCUUAACACAUGCAAGUCGAACGGAAAGGCCCUGCUUGCAGGGUGCUCGAGUGGCGAACGGGUGAGUAACACGUGGGUGAUCUGCCCCUUACUUUGGGAUAAGCCUGGGAAACUGGGUCUAAUACUGGAUAGGACCAUGCUGUAGGUGGUGUGGUGGAAAGAUUAGUUUCGGUAAGGGAUGAGCUCGCGGCCUAUCAGCUUGUUGGUGGGGUAAUGGCCUACCAAGGCGUCGACGGGUAGCCGGCCUGAGAGGGUGGACGGCCACAUUGGGACUGAGAUACGGCGCAGACGCCUACGGGAGGCAGCAGUGGGGAAUAUUGCACAAUGGGCGCAAGCCUGAUGCAGCGACGCCGCGUGGGGGAUGACGGCCUUCGGGUUGUAAACUACUUUCAGCAAUGACGAAGCCCUUGUGGUGACGGUAGUGGUAGAAGAAGCACCGGCUAACUACGUG
rnacentral:rRNA from 1 species